CAAUAUCUCAAGGAGAAACAGAUCAUUAUUGAUGAGAAUCAAAAUCUCAUUUCUGAGAAAGACAAAGUUAUAGCCAAACUGACAUCACAAGUUGAGGAACAAUUACAGAUAUUUGCUGACCUUAAAGAAAAGGAGUUGUACAUAGCCAAACUAGU